rnacentral:other from 1 species
UGUUUCCUGGGUUGUUUGGAACGGCUUAACGCCCUUGAGCCUAUGCGUAUACACCCGGAAAGAAUAUGUGAGUUUGGUGUGCAUGUCCGUGCGUCGGAAAGCCUAAAAAGCUUCAGUUCAUUCCAACUUGAACCACUGGGUUCAAGGCCAAUAGUCGAAACGGCAACUUGGGAAACUU